GACGAACGCUGGCGGCGUGCUUAACACAUGCAAGUCGAGCGAUGAAGCUCCUUCGGGAGUGGAUUAGCGGCGGACGGGUGAGUAACACGUGGGUAACCUGCCUCAUAGAGGGGAAUAGCCUUCCGAAAGGAAGAUUAAUACCGCAUAAGAUUGAAGUUCCGCAUGGAACAGCAAUUAAAGGAGUAAUCCGCUAUGAGAUGGACCCGCGUCGCAUUAGCUAGUUGGUGAGGUAACGGCUCACCAAGGCGACGAUGCGUAGCCGACCUGAGAGGGUGAUCGGCCACAUUGGGACUGAGACACGGCCCAGACUCCUACGGGAGGCAGCAGUGGGGAAUAUUGCACAAUGGGGGAAACCCUGAUGCAGCAACGCCGCGUGAGUGAUGACGGUCUUCGGAUUGUAAAACUCUGUCUUUGGGGACGAUAAUGACGGUACCCAAGGAGGAAGCCACGGCUAACUACGUGCCAGCCGCCGCCGUAACAC
rnacentral:rRNA from 1 species